UACGUAGGGGGCAAGCGUUGUCCGGAAUUAUUGGGCGUAAAGAGCGUGUAGGCGGUCCGGUAAGUCGGCUGUGAAAGUCCAGGGCUCAACCCUGGGAUGCCGGUCGAUACUGCCGGACUAGAGUUCGGAAGAGGCGAGUGGAAUUCCCGGUGUAGCGGUGAAAUGCGCAGAUAUCAGGAAGAACACCGAUGGCGAAGGCAGCUCUCUGGGACGGUACUGACGCUGAGACGCGAAAGCGUGGGGAGCGAACAGG
rnacentral:rRNA from 1 species